ensembl:misc_RNA Metazoa_SRP Metazoan signal recognition particle RNA
GCCGGGCGCGGUGGCACGUGCUUAUAGUCCCAGCUACUCAGGCGGCUGAGGUGGGAGGAUCGCUUGACCCCAGAGGUUCUGGGCUGUAGUGCACUAUGCCAAUCCAGUGUCCACACUAAGUUCAGCAUCAAUAUGGUGACCUCCGGGAGCCGGGGCCCACCAGGUUGCCUAAGGAGGGGUGAACCGGCCCAGGUUGGAAAUGGAGCAGGUCAAAACUCCCCUGCUGAUCAGUAGUGGGAUUGUGCCUGUGAAUAGCCACUGCACUCCAGCCUGGACAACAUACUGAGGCCCCCUUUCUU